rnacentral:rRNA from 1 species
UACGUAGGGAGCAAGCGUUGUUCGGAUUUACUGGGCGUAAAGGGCGCGUAGGCGGCAAUUCAAGUCACUUGUGAAAUCUCCGGGCUUAACUCGGAACGGUCAAGUGAUACUGCUUUGCUAGAGUGCGGAAGGGGCAAUCGGAAUUCUUGGUGUAGCGGUGAAAUGCGUAGAUAUCGAGAGGAACACCUGAGGUGAAGACGGGUUGCUGGGCUGACACUGACGCUGAGGCGCGAAAGCCAGGGGAGCAAACGGG